ACGAGUGGCGGACGGGUGAGUAAUGCUUGGGAACUUGCCUUUGCGAGGGGGAUAACAGUUGGAAACGACUGCUAAUACCGCAUAAUGUCUUCGGACCAAACGGGGCUUCGGCUCCGGCGCAAAGAGAGGCCCAAGUGAGAUUAGCUAGUUGGUAAGGUAACGGCUUACCAAGGCGACGAUCUCUAGCUGUUCUGAGAGGAAGAUCAGCCACACUGGGACUGAGACACGGCCCAGACUCCUACGGGAGGCAGCAGUGGGGAAUAUUGCACAAUGGGGGAAACCCUGAUGCAGCCAUGCCGCGUGUGUGAAGAAGGCCUUCGGGUUGUAAAGCACUUUCAGUUGUGAGGAAAAGUUAGUAGUUAAUACCUGCUAGCCGUGACGUUAACAACAGAAGAAGCACCGGCUAACUCCGUGCCAGCAGCCGCGGUAAUACGGAGGGUGCGAGCGUUAAUCGGAAUUACUGGGCGUAAAGCGCACGCAGGCGGUUUGUUAAGCUAGAUGUGAAAGCCCCGGGCUCAACCUGGGAUGGUCAUUUAGAACUGGCAGACUAGAGUCUUGGAGAGGGGAGUGGAAUUCCAGGUGUAGCGGUGAAAUGCGUAGAUAUCUGGAGGAACAUCAGUGGCGAAGGCGACUCCCUGGCCAAAGACUGACGCUCAUGUGCGAAAGUGUGGGUAGCGAACAGGAUUAGAUACCCUGGUAGUCCACACCGUAAACGCUGUCUACUAGCUGUGUGUGUCUUUANGACGUGCGUAGCGAAGCUAACGCGCUAAGUAGACCGCCUGGGGAGUACGGCCGCAAGGUUAAAACUCAAAUGAAUUGACGGGGGGCCCGCACAAGCGGUGGAGCAUGUGGUUUAAUUCGAUGCAACGCGAAGAA
rnacentral:rRNA from 1 species